GCAAGUCGAACGGAAAGGCCCUUCGGGGUACUCGAGUGGCGAACGGGUGAGUAACACGUGGGUGAUCUGCCCUGCACUUUGGGAUAAGCCUGGGAAACUGGGUCUAAUACCGAAUAUGACCGCGCACUUCCUGGUGUGUGGUGGAAAGCUUUUGCGGUGUGGGAUGGGCCCGCGGCCUAUCAGCUUGUUGGUGGGGUAAUGGCCUACCAAGGCGACGACGGGUAGCCGGCCUGAGAGGGUGACCGGCCACACUGGGACUGAGAUACGGCCCAGACUCCUACGGGAGGCAGCAGUGGGGAAUAUUGCACAAUGGGCGCAAGCCUGAUGCAGCGACGCCGCGUGAGGGAUGACGGCCUUCGGGUUGUAAACCUCUUUCAAUAGGGACGAAGCGCAAGUGACGGUACCUAUAGAAGAAGGACCGGCCAACUACGUGCCAGCAGCCGCGGUAAUACGUAGGGUCCGAGCGUUGUCCGGAAUUACUGGGCGUAAAGAGCUCGUAGGUGGUUUGUCGCGUUGUUCGUGAAAACUCACAGCUUAACUGUGGGCGUGCGGGCGAUACGGGCAGACUAGAGUACUGCAGGGGAGACUGGAAUUCCUGGUGUAGCGGUGGAAUGCGCAGAUAUCAGGAGGAACACCGGUGGCGAAGGCGGGUCUCUGGGCAGUAACUGACGCUGAGGAGCGAAAGCGUGGGGAGCGAACAGGAUUAGAUACCCUGGUAGUCCACGCCGUAAACGGUGGGUACUAGGUGUGGGUUUCCUUCCUUGGGAUCCGUGCCGUAGCUAACGCAUUAAGUACCCCGCCUGGGGAGUACGGCCGCAAGGCUAAAACUCAAAGAAAUUGACGGGGGCCCGCACAAGCGGCGGAGCAUGUGGAUUAAUUCGAUGCAACGC
rnacentral:rRNA from 1 species